rnacentral:lncRNA from 1 species
UGUUGAAGUCCCCGAUUCGGAGGGUGACAUGUCCUCUGGGUAUGAAGGAGGCCGACUUCGUGGACCGCCUGAGGUUCACCUUCCCUCAGCUGAAGGGACCAUUUGAUGCCUUCACUACUGAUGCAACCAGGAAACUGACGCCACUGAAAGUAAAGACACUGACACCAGAGGAGGUCUACAAGUCCAUCAAAUCCACGGGCAAAGGAAGAUCAGCUCUGUACAUCAGAGUAAAGGUAGACCCAGAGCUCUUAACUUGACACGAUGAGAUUCUCUAGAGAAGGAGUUUCCAAACCUGGUCCUUGAAGCGGGUUUGGUGGGUGGUGGACACCUGUGCUCUAGAGCAAAAGGCUCCUGACUCUGGAUUCAUAGAUAAUUUUAAUCGUAAUUAAGUUCACUAGGUAAAUUUGUGGGCAAAAUUAUCUGACAUCUGCUUUUUUAUUUCAACAACAGACUCGUGAAAACGAGAGAAAACACAAAGCCGCCACAGACUCUACAUCCACAUCUACAACCACAACGGAUAAGUGGUAAAUUACUAGGGGAGGGUGAGCAAAAGACAUAUAGCUACUUUACUUCAGGAUUAGACGAUGUAAAAAACAGGUUGAAAUCUAAAAAAAACACAAAUUUACUUAAACUAUACAAAAAGAUGCUAAAUGGCAAAUGAUGCAUGAAGUGACUCAGGUUAAAUGGGGCCAAUGAGUCUAGUUGGGAACAAAUCAAUAAAGUUAUUUUACCACUAGUGAUUCUGUCAGUUAAACACAAACCACCAAAGGUGCACUGACCGAGACGAGUCAAACAAAUGUAAUGAAACCUCUCGAUUUGUUCUCUCAGUGGCUGCAUUGAUCCUGUUGAAACAGUAGAAACAGACGGUAUGUCUGGGAACUCAAGAACACAACAGACGGAAACAGAAGACGGUGCUGAUGGAGAUGAUUCACCUGCUUUACCAGCUCUAACCUGUGGCUCUCCAGCGCCCUCUCCUGUCCACUCUGAAGCUGAGAGCGACUGCACAGAGGAUGGGCAAACAGAUGACAGUGAUGAGAACCUGAUGGAAAUCGAAACAAAUACGAAACCGUCCAUCAGGCGAACGUUCUUACCCUUCUCCGAUCGCUCUGUGGUUGACAACACAGGGGACACGAGUGACGCCUGUAGGAACCAAGAAGAAGGAGACGGAGUCUCUAAGUCUGAGGAUGGUGAGGAAUCGAUAUCGUCAAAUACAGAAACACAGAAGCCCCUGCUGAAGUCACUCAGAGUCUGCUUGUUGAAGAUCAAUGUGCUCGGAAAAGGCGAAGAGGAAGCUGGUUCAGGGGAACUCACUGAGGAGCAGGAGCAGCAAAGACGACACAUAUGUACGUUCUCACUAUACGUUUCGGGUUAGGGUUGGGGUUAACCCUGUAUGGGAAUGACUGUUUGACUCUUUUUUGUUCAGACGUGGAAGAUGCCUCUAAGAGUCAGGAUGUCUCAGACCCCGCAGGCAACAAUAACGAUGUUGGAUCUGCUGAGGGUCCAGCACAGAGCACCAGUCUAGACCAGAGGGACCUGAGAGGACCAGAUCAUCCAAUUACAAAUAGAAGGUUCACACAUUUAAUUUAAUAUUACAGCUUAAUCGGGUUCUUUAGCAUAUGAGGGAAAUCUUUCUCUGACAUUUUACCUUGAUUAGAUUAUCUCUUUUUUUAUAGAGCUCAGGCUACGAAGAACAAAUUCAGGAUAAGUGAUCCGCUAAAUCUCCGAGUCUGCCUGUUGAAGGAGUCAAAGUCCAACAAGCUCAAAGGAUGCAGUGAGUUUACAAUAGAAAAAAAACAAGGGAGCUUGUUUUGGUGGUAGAACACACCUGAUCCAGGUGAAUCGGUAAUGGUUCACUCCCGUUACAACUGAGUCACUGCCUCUCAUAAGUUAUACAGAUUUGAGUUAUGUAGCUGGAGCCGUGAUAAGUAAAUAAUAUUCUGAUCUAGCAUGUUACAUUACUGACACAGAGCAGUCAGAUUACGGUUUGUCUGCACUGUUGAACCCCAAACUCUCUUCAUGUAAUACUAAUAAAAGUUAAACUUAAUGAAGCUUUGAGGUGUUUUUGUAGCAGACUGAAUGUUUUUGUGCCUAUUUGUCAGAACAAAUACAA